GAUGAACGCUGGCGGCGUGCCUAAUACAUGCAAGUCGAGCGAACAGAUGAGGAGCUUGCUCCUCUGACGUUAGCGGCGGACGGGUGAGUAACACGUGGAUAACCUACCUAUAAGACUGGGAUAACUUCGGGAAACCGGAGCUAAUACCGGAUAAUAUAUUGAACCGCAUGGUUCAAUAGUGAAAGACGGUGUUGCUGUCACUUAUAGAUGGUUCCGCGCCGCAUUAGAUAGUUGGUAAGGUAACGGCUUACCAAGGCAACGAUGCGUAGCCGACCUGAGAGGGGGAUCGGCCACACUGGAACUGAGCCACGGUCCAGACUCCUACGGGAGGCAGCAGUAGGGAAUCUUCCGCAAUGGGCGAAAGCCUGACGGAGCAACGCGGCGUGAGUGAUGAAGGUCUUCGGAUCGUAAAACUCUGUUACUAGGGAAGAACAGAUGUGUAAGUAACUAUGGACGUCUUGACGGUAACUAAUCAGAAAGCCACGGCUAACUACGUG
rnacentral:rRNA from 1 species